AGUGAACGCUGGCGGUAGGCCUAACACAUGCAAGUCGAACGGCAGCACAGUAAGAGCUUGCUCUUACGGGUGGCGAGUGGCGGACGGGUGGGGAAUACAUCGGAAUCUACUUUUUCGUGGGGGAUAACGUAGGGAAACUUACGCUAAUACCGCAUACGACCUACGGGUGAAAGCAGGGGAUCUUCGGACCUUGCGCGAUUGAAUGAGCCGAUGUCGGAUUAGCUAGUUGGCGGGGUAAAGGGCCACCAAGGCGACGAUCCGUAGCUGGUCUGAGAGGAUGAUCAGCCACACUGGAACUGAGACACGGUCCAGACUCCUACGGGAGGCAGCAGUGGGGAAUAUUGGACAAUGGGCGCAAGCCUGAUCCAGCCAUACCGCGUGGGUGAAGAAGGCCUUCGGGUUGUAAAGCCCUUUUGUUGGGAAAGAAAAGCAGCAGGUUAAUACCCCGCUGUUCUGACGGUACCCAAAGAAUAAGCACCGGCUAACUUCGUG
rnacentral:rRNA from 1 species